GUGAACGCUGGCGGCGUGCCUAACACAUGCAAGUCGAACGAUGAUGGAGAGCUUGCUCUCCUGAUUAGUGGCGCACGGGUGAGUAUACCAUAGAUAAUGUACCUCUUAGUUUGGGAUAGCCACUGGAAACGGUGAUUAAUACUAGAUACACCUUUUUAACAUAAGUUAAAUCGGGAAAUGUCUUUUCGCUUCGAGAUCAGACUAUAUCCUAUCAGUUAGUUGGUGAGGUAAUGGCUCACCAAGGCUAUGACGGGUAUCUGGUUUGAGAGGAUGAUCAGACACACUGGAACUGAGACACGGUCCAGACUCCUACGGGAGGCAGCAGUGAGGAAUAUUGCACAAUGGAGGAAACUCUGAUGCAGCAACGCCGCGUGGAGGAUGACGCAUUUCGGUGUGUAAACUCCUUUUAAGAGGGAAGAUAAUGACGGUACCUCUUGAAUAAGCACCGGCUAACUCCGU
rnacentral:rRNA from 1 species